CAGAGUAUAGCUAAAUAGAAAAGCAUCUCCCUUACACCGAGAAGGCAUCUGUGCAAAUCAGAUUACCCUGA
rnacentral:tRNA from 1 species